CGAUUAGCUACUGCAUUUGGAUUUAAGGUAUAGUGGUCAAUGUGUUUGGUUUGUAAGAGCAGUGCAUCUCGCAAUUGCAUGAGUGCUGGAGACCGAGCACGAGUAGCUACUGAAUUUGGAUUUUAAAACAAAGUUGCCAAUUUGUUUGGCGUAUGAGAGCGGUGCAUUUCGCAAUGCAUGAUUAUACUUGCGACCGAGCACGAUUCGUUACUGAAUUCGGUUUUAAGGUACCGUGACCAAUGUGUUUGGCGUAUCAGCAAUGUGCAUCUUCCAAUGCAGGUGUGCUUCAAACCCAGCAUGUUUAGCUCAGUGCAUUUGGAUUUAAGGCAAUGUGGCCAAUGAUAAU